UCAUGGCUCAGGACGAACGCUGGCGGCGUGCUUAACACAUGCAAGUCGAACGGUGAUGGUGGGAGCUUGCUCCUACCGGAUCAGUGGCGAACGGGUGAGUAACACGUGAGUAACCUGCCCCAGACUCUGGAAUAACCCCGGGAAACCGGAGCUAAUACCGGAUACGAGACGAAGCUGCAUGGCUAUCGUCUGGAAAGUUUUUCGGUCUGGGAUGGACUCGCGGCCUAUCAGCUUGUUGGUGAGGUAAUGGCUCACCAAGGCGACGACGGGUAGCCGGCCUGAGAGGGCGACCGGCCACACUGGGACUGAGACACGGCCCAGACUCCUACGGGAGGCAGCAGUGGGGAAUAUUGCACAAUGGGCGAAAGCCUGAUGCAGCGACGCCGCGUGAGGGAUGACGGCCUUCGGGUUGUAAACCUCUUUCAGCAGGGAAGAAGCGAAAGUGACGGUACCUGCAGAAGAAGCACCGGCUAACUACGUGCCAGCAGCCGCGGUAAUACGUAGGGUGCGAGCGUUGUCCGGAAUUAUUGGGCGUAAAGAGCUUGUAGGCGGUUUGUCGCGUCUGCCGUGAAAUUUCGGGGCUCAACCCCGAACUUGCGGUGGGUACGGGCAGACUAGAGUGUGGUAGGGGAGACUGGAAUUCCUGGUGUAGCGGUGAAAUGCGCAGAUAUCAGGAGGAACACCGAUGGCGAAGGCAGGUCUCUGGGCCACUACUGACGCUGAGAAGCGAAAGCAUGGGGAGCGAACAGGAUUAGAUACCCUGGUAGUCCAUGCCGUAAACGUUGGGAACUAGGUGUGGGUCUCAUUCCACGAGAUCCGUGCCGCAGCUAACGCAUUAA
rnacentral:rRNA from 1 species